GAUGAACGCUGGCGGCGUGCCUAAUACAUGCAAGUCGAGCGAACGGACGAGAAGCUUGCUUCUCUGAUGUUAGCGGCGGACGGGUGAGUAACACGUGGAUAACCUACCUAUAAGACUGGGAUAACUUCGGGGAACCGGAGCUAAUACCGGAUAAUAUUUUGAACCGCAUGGUUCAAAAGUGAAAGACGGUCUUGCUGUCACUUAUAGAUGGAUCCGCGCUGCAUUAGCUAGUUGGUAAGGUAACGGCUUACCAAGGCAACGAUGCAUAGCCGACCUGAGAGGGUGAUCGGCCACACUGGAACUGAGACACGGUCCAGACUCUUACGGGAGGCAGCAGUAGGGAAUCUUCCGCAAUGGGCGAAAGCCUGACGGAGCAACGCCGCGUGAGUGAUGAAGGUCUUCGGAUCGCAAAACUCUGUUAUUAGGGAAGAACAUAUGUGUAAGUAACUGUGCACAUCUUGACGGUACCUAAUCAGAAAGCCACGGCUAACUACGUG
rnacentral:rRNA from 1 species